GAUGAACGCUAGCGGCAGGCUUAAUACAUGCAAGUCGUGGGGCAGCAUGAGUAGCAAUACUUGAUGGCGACCGGCAAACGGGUGAGGAACACGUACACAACCUUCCUUCAAGCGGGGAAUAGCCCAGAGAAAUUUGGAUUAAUACCCCAUAAUAUAUUUGAUAAGGCAUCUUAUUAAUAAUUAAAGCUUCGGCACUUGAUGAUGGGUGUGCGGCUGAUUAGAUAGUUGGCGGGGUAACGGCCCACCAAGUCUACGAUCAGUAGCUGAUGUGAGAGCAUGAUCAGCCACACGGGCACUGAGACACGGGCCGACUCCUACGGAGGCAGCAGU
rnacentral:rRNA from 1 species